AUGCGCCUCGGGCGCACGGGCGCUGGUUGGCAUCGCGGCGGCGGCGCCGCUGUCGGGCACGCGCAGUGCCGGCGGCCGUGCCGCGGCGUCCACCAGCGGGGAAGUGGCAGUCGCAGAGUGUGGCUUCCCCUUCCAAGGGUUUCCAUCGCGGCACACGACUCCUGGUGCUCUACAGCAGCUGGGGCGAAACUCGCAGGAAGCCUCUUUACAGCUUUCUCCCUCGGGCCUCUCUGCGCCUAAUGGGAGGCCUGGCUGUGGCAUCAGAGCUGGUCACCCGCGUAGUUCUCCUCACCCUCCUGCUCGGCUUGGCACCCUUGUGUGCGUGAGGUGACAGAAUGAGGGCUGGGUCCCAUGAGGAGUCUUUCCCAUGCACAUGCUGUGUGCUCAGCUUCCACGCAUGCCCAUUUGAAAAUGAAGCACACCUUAUAAGAAUGUUUUUAUUUAAAGGACCAUCUUUAAUGCUGCACCUAAGUACUGCAAGUUUCAGUAGAGAAGUCCAAGCAUAUGAAAGGCUGCUGCAAAAGGGAAGGAACCAUCUCUCUCUGUGUCUGCAACAAGAAGAAUUAAACUUUGCAGCAAGGAAGGCUCAGGUUAUAUUACAAAGAGCUUUCUUUUUUUUCAGAACAGGCCAACUUUGCACUAGAACAGCUUGCUUUU